rnacentral:rRNA from 1 species
CAGCCGCCGCGGUAAUACGGAGGGGGCUAGCGUUGUUCGGAAUUACUGGGCGUAAAGCGCACGAAGGCGGCUUGGUAAGUUAGAGGUGAAAGCCUGGAGCUCAACUCCAGAAUUGCCUUUAAGACUGCCGAGCUAGCAGGUGAGAGAGGUAAGUGGAAUUCCGAGUGUAGAGGUGAAAUUCGUAGAUAUUCGGAAGAACACCAGUGGCGAAGGCGGCUUACUGGCUCAUACUGGACGCUGAGGUGCGAAAGCGUGGGGAGCAAACAGGAUUAGAUACCCGCGUAGUCCCUGUCUCUUAUAC